AGCGUGAGACUUUUAAUCUCAAGGUUGCGGGUUCGAGUCCCGCGUUGGGCU
rnacentral:tRNA from 1 species